rnacentral:rRNA from 1 species
AUUGAACGCUGGCGGCAGGCUUAACACAUGCAAGUCGAGCGGGGUGAUGGUGCUUGCACUAUCACUUAGCGGCGGACGGGUGAGUAAUGCUUAGGAAUCUGCCCAUUAGUGGGGGACAACAUCUCGAAAGGGAUGCUAAUACCGCAUACGUCCUACGGGAGAAAGCAGGGGAUCACUUGUGACCUUGCGCUAAUAGAUGAGCCUAAGUCGGAUUAGCUAGUUGAUGGGGUAAAGGCCUACCAAGGCGACGAUCUGUAGCGGGUCUGAGAGGACUGUCCCGCAAACCGGGGCCGAGACACGGCCCAGGCUUCUACGGGAGGCAGGAGUGGGGAAUAUUGGACAAUGGGGGGAACCCUGAUCCAGCCAUGCCGCGUGGGUGAAGAAGGCCUUAUGGUUGUAAAGCACUUUAAGCGAGGAGGAGGCUCUUUUGGUUAAUACCCAAGAUGAGUGGACGUUACUCGCAGAAUAAGCACCGGCUAACUCUGUGCCAGCAGCCGCCGUAA